AUUGAACGCUGGCGGCAUGCCUUACACAUGCAAGUCGAACGGCAGCACGGGAGCAAUCCUGGUGGCGAGUGGCGAACGGGUGAGUAAUAUAUCGGAACGUGCCCGGUCGUGGGGAUAACGUAGCGAAAGCUACGCUAAUACCGCAUACGAUCUACGGAUGAAAGCGGGGGAUCGCAAGACCUCGCGCGAUUGGAGCGGCCGAUAUCAGAUUAGGUAGUUGGUGAGGUAAAGGCUCACCAAGCCGACGAUCUGUAGCUGGUCUGAGAGGACGACCAGCCACACUGGGACUGAGACACGGCCCAGACUCCUACGGGAGGCAGCAGUGGGGAAUUUUGGACAAUGGGCGGCAAGCCUGAUCCAGCAAUAGCCGCGUGCAGGAUGAAGG
rnacentral:rRNA from 1 species